rnacentral:lncRNA from 1 species
GCAGUGUUUGAUUUUCUGUUCUUAUGUCAGUUUGUUGAGAAUGAUGGUUUCCAGAUGCAUCCAUGUCCCUACAAAGGACAUGAACUCAGUGUUUUUUAAUGCUGCAUAGUAUUCCAUGGUAUAUAUAUGCCACAUUUUCCUUGUCCAGUCUGUCAUUGAUGGGCAUUUGGGUUGGUUCCAGGUCUUUGCUAUUGUAAACAGUGCUGCAAUGAACAUUCGUGUGCAUGUGUCUUUAUAAUAGAAUGAUUUAUAAUCCUUUGGAUAUAUACCCAGUAAUGGGAUUGCUGGGUCAAAUGGAAUUUCUGUUUCUAGGUCCUUGAGGAAUUGCCACACUGUCUUCCACAAUGGUUGAACUAAUUUACACUGCUACCAACAGUGGUGGACUGGCAAACUGGAGACCCAGGGAAGAGUCAUUGCUGCAGUUUGAGCCUGAAGGUGGUCUGCCAUGGAGCCAGAAGAGCCAAUGCUGUAGAACAGAUCGGAAGGUCUUCUCAUGGCUGAUUCCUUCUUGCUCAAAAGAGGUCAGUAUUUUGUUCUAUUCAAGCCUUCAACUGAUUGGACAAGGCUCACAUUAUGCAGGAUGA